GGGGCUGUUUGGUUUUGACAGCAAGUAGAAGAGGUAUGUAAGCACGCAGUGCGUUGUCGUAUAGCACUUUAAUCAUAGACGGCAAAAUUUAACUGGCGAAAAUGAAUACGCUCUCGCUGCCUGAUCGAAGAUUAGUAAAUUAGGCUUCAUUGCGGCACAGGUGCUGCAACGGGACAUCUCUCAAAUGCCUUGCCCUGAGGCGGUUUGGUAAAGAGGUGUAGGGAAAAUCAGGGAUAGAAAUUCUUUGCUGCGGAAGAAUUUUGAAUUCCGAUAACUCGGAAAGCAGAUAAGGCGUUGGUUGGUGGCUUCGGUCUUGCCAGCGCACGAAAAACAAAGGCGAAGAUAAGCGUGUAGAAAGCAUAUUGCUUCCUUGUUUGGACACGGGUUCGAAUCCCGUCAGCUCCACUA
rnacentral:tmRNA from 1 species